rnacentral:lncRNA from 1 species
GUUCUGUUCUCUAAGCUGGAAUGUGACCUACACCACGGCGCGUAAGAACUGCCUAGAUGCGCGUGUGCCUGCAACGCACGGUCACGAUGCAAACUUGAGAAAACAAACACAAUCUGACCCAGGAUCUGCGUAGAGACAGUGAGGGCUCGACAGAGACAGGUUACACCUCCCCAGGCCUAGGAUGGGAUAGACUUUUCCCACCUAUGAGGAAUUGCCUGGUCAGGAAGAGAUUAAUGUCAUUGUCUUCUGCCUGCAAUGCUUUGAGUGGCUUUUGAUGACUGGCUGGCUUGGCUGUAUAAUAACUCCAAGGCAAGGAUGAAAGUCUGGGGGAUCCAGGGAGGGAAGGAGCUACCCUACUGCACACAUGGACGCUAGAGGCCCCGGCUGUCUUGCAGAAGGAAAUUGUGCCAUUCCGCUGGCCUGACCCCAUCCCAGAGGGCUCCACCAACUGAUUCCAUCCACUUCUGGGGGUCAGGCAGCCCUGGAAGGCGACUCACUAAACAACAGAGAUUCAUGCUACGCAUCUCACGCCACCACAACUGUGCUUCUCGAGGGGCGAAGUGGCGUGAUCAGAAGAUGUGAUGUUGGAUGAGCACAAAAGCCACAAGAAUGGCCCAGUAUUUGCAAGAGGUUCCAUUUGAAGAUUUGUUUCCUUUCCAAAAUAAAAACAGUGA